UACAGAGGUGGCUAGCGUUGUUCGGAUUUAUUGGGCGUAAAGGGUCCGUAGGCGGUUCGGAAAGUCGGAUGUGAAAUCCCACAGCUCAACUGUGGAACUGCAUUCGAAACUUCCGGACUUGAGUGUGAGAGGGGUAAAGGGAAUUCCCGGUGUAAGGGUGAAAUCUGCAGAGAUCGGGAGGAACACCAGUCGCGAAGGCGCUUUACUGGCUCACUACUGACGCUCAGGGACGAAAGCUAGGGUAGCAAAC
rnacentral:rRNA from 1 species